CAGGAAGAUGGGCAAGAGGGACUGAAAAGAGUUGGCUAAACUGAAGGGCAUUGUUGGCUCAAAACAAAUGAGUUUAGAUGAGUAAACGUGAAUAAAUAAACUUAGGAUAAAACUUAAGGAAAAAUGAAAGCCUUUGAAAGAGUAACUGUGAAAAUCUGGUGUGGGGACUGUGGAGACAAGGCAGUUCAUCUUUCAUACAGGUGUCUCCCAAGACUCCUUCUUCACAUUUCACGUGCGCAUUUUGAAACCAUUACCAGGAAUGAACAUUUGUACUUUAACAGCCACAGAACGUGUGCUGCCCCACUCUUGAGAGACUGCCUGGUACUGUGUGGAGGGAGUGCUCUAUGUGGUCAAAACCACUUCAAACUGAACUACUAAAGGAAAGGCUGAAGUGAUGAACUUUGGCUUGAAGUUUGUACUUCAUAGAAGCUUAGAACAAAACUAGAAUGGGAAAGAGACAAGAACAGUUAGAAUCAAGUCUGUAAUUUGAAUUAGAGUUGAGACUGGGACUAAGUUUGAGCUGGGCCAUGUGUGAGGUGAAUUUGACUGAGACUGGUUUGUGUUUGGUUUUAUGCGGAAGAGAAUUUUUCUGUGGAGUGCCAGAUAUGUUGCUUAUUAUUGAUUUUGACAUCACGUCCAGAUCUCAAUUGAGGACUGAUGAGGAAAUUAUGAAACAGUUCCUAUUCUGUUCCUAGACUGAUAACAGCAGCCAAGCAGGGUUGGUCAGCAUAAGAGCAGAGGUUCUUUGUGCUAAAUCUGAUGUUAAAGUGAUAGAUUUGGAAGAGGAAGAUUGCCUAAUGAGCAGGUAGGCAGCAAUAUAUCAAAAAACCCCUAACCUGGACUGUUAACAAUCUAUGGAUUUUCUUUUUCUUUUCAGUUUGCUUUUUAAGGGUAGAAAAGUGUACUUGUUCUGAACAUGAA
ensembl:lncRNA